UCUUCAUCAUGGGCAAGUGAAUGGUUCACCGGUUCAAUUUACCAUCAACAAAUGGCAACUCAAUCAUCAAGUCAAUCAUUGCAGUCAGUUUCACUCUCAUCUCCCUUAUAACUUGUCGAUCCAUGUUGCUCUUCAAAAGGGAUUGCGGGUGCUCUGACCGUGGUCGCUAGAAGAUGGAAAGAAAGAUUAUAGUAGGAGCAAGGAGUACAAUUGAUACCGGAACAACUUUGACAUUCCUUCUUGCAGAAGCAUUUGAACCUUUUCUCAAUGCUGUUGAGAAGAAGAAUGUGAAGAAGGCUCAGGUUUUGUAUGAUGCGAUUGAUGGGAGUGGCGGGUUUUAUCGGUCGCUGGUUGAGAAGUCGGUUAGGUCGUUGAUGAAUGUGCCGUUUACGCUUGAGAGGGCCGAGUGACUUCAUCACCCAAUAGGUAUGGAUAAUUAUUGUUUAUUAGUUAUUACUCAGUUUUGUUUGAUUUUGUUAUUUGGUGUUAAAUUUUUAUGCUUGAAAAAGUUUAUAGAUUAUAUGCUAAAUUGGUUGUUGUAAGCCUUGUUAAAUUUUGACAUAAAACAUCACAGACAAAUAUUAUUUGAUAUUUUAACUUGAGAAACCAUAGAACUAUAGAUGUAUUUCUAGCAGGUAAUAUAGGUUCAUGGAAUCUGCAUCUUUCCUUGGUGAUGUCAUCUAUUAGUUUAGGAUUUUUGUUUUUUUCCUUGGUAACAUCUUAAAGUUAUUGGAGUGGAUGAUGAUGACCCAAAAACAAAUCUGCGAAAGGAUCGUAGUGAAAAAAGCUAUCAAGCCUACAUGGCCCCAAGGAAGACGGAUUCUUAUGGGGGCAGAAAAAAAUGAGAAACCUUAUGCACCAGCAGCCAUGGAAAAGAAAGAAGCCUCACUUUGGCAUAAGGCCCAGUGCCUUCUUUAUUUUAUGUUGAUUGUGUUUUUUUACGGACGACAUGGGUACACAUUUCAUUAAACUACUCUAUAAACCUUCACUUAAGUUAGUUUCAAUAUGUCAUUCAUGUAUGUGGACUACUAUACUUCAUGAACUGUAUCAAAUGUCUUAGAUCAUAUGUCCUAAAAAUAAUACGCCUUGUUUUCCAAACAUUUUUUUGUGCUAGAAUGUAUAUACAACGUAGCAUGCUAUUAUUUAACCGCCCCGUGUAUCCAUUAAAAACACUUAUCAUUUAAGGUUCUGAGUUUUUUCCCAGACCUCGUAUUAUCGAC
rnacentral:lncRNA from 1 species